AUUCGCGGCCUAUCAGCUUGUUGGUGGGGUAAUGGCCUACCAAGGCGACGACGGGUAGCCGGCCUGAGAGGGUGACCGGCCACACUGGGACUGAGACACGGCCCAGACUCCUACGGGAGGCAGCAGUGGGGAAUAUUGCACAAUGGGCGGAAGCCUGAUGCAGCGACGCCGCGUGAGGGAUGACGGCCUUCGGGUUGUAAACCUCUUUCAGUAGGGAAGAAGCGAGAGUGACGGUACCUGCAGAAGAAGCGCCGGCUAACUACGUGCCAGCAGCCGCGGUAAUACGUAGGGCGCAAGCGUUAUCCGGAAUUAUUGGGCGUAAAGAGCUCGUAGGCGGUUUGUCGCGUCUGCCGUGAAAGUCCGGGGCUCAACCCCGGAUCUGCGGUGGGUACGGGCAGACUAGAGUGCUGUAGGGGAGACUGGAAUUCCUGGUGUAGCGGUGAAAUGCGCAGAUAUCAGGAGGAACACCGAUGGCGAAGGCAGGUCUCUGGGCAGUAACUGACGCUGAGGAGCGAAAGCAUGGGGAGCGAACAGGAUUAGAUACCCUGGUAGUCCAUGCCGUAAACGUUGGGCACUAGAUGUGGGGGACAUUCCACGUUCUCCGCGUCGUAGCUAACGCAUUAAGUGCCCCGCCUGGGGAGUACGGAAU
rnacentral:rRNA from 1 species